UAAAAACCCCAUUCCAUAUUAAUUCUUCAAAUUUCACCCUUUCGUCUCAAAACAAACUCUCUCUAGAAACCUCCAUUUGAGAUGAAUUUCAAUAAAACCCUUGGUGAUGGAUUCUCAAGCUUUAUUCUUUUAGUUUUCGUGGAUUUCUCAUAUAAUGAGGUGGUAAUGACUAGAGGAUGUCUCCUAGGUGAAGAUCAUGGAUAGUUCCAAGUUCAAGCAAAGGGAUCCUCAUGAUUCAGAAUUUCCCCAUAUCAAGUUCCUAUUCAUUUUUUAUAGCUUAGAUAUAUUUUAUGUUUGUAAGGGUCAUCUCCCUAUUCUAUUAUAUUGAGUUGUGUCUUAAGAUGGCAAAGAGAUUUAGAGUGUAACUAUAUAUCUAUGACAUUUUAUAUAUAAUGAAGUAAUGCUCUAGCAUAUGAUGUGCUAUGACAAUAUCUAAAUUUUCAGCUAA